rnacentral:rRNA from 1 species
UACAGAGGUCUCAAGCGUUGUUCGGAAUUACUGGGCGUAAAAGGGUGCGCAGGCUGCGCGGCAAGUCAAAUGUGAAAUUCAGGGGCUCACCCCUGCAUUGCGCUUGAUACUUCCGCGCUCGAGCCUUGGAAAGGAGUCUGGAAUUCUCGGUGUAGCAGUGAAAUGCGUAGAUAUCGAGAGAACACUAAGGGCGAAGGCAAGACUCUGGACAAGUGCUGACGCUCGAUGCACGGAAGGCUAGGGUAGC